rnacentral:rRNA from 1 species
UACGUAGGGUGCGAGCGUUGUCCGGAAUUAUUGGGCGUAAAGAGCUCGUAGGCGGCCUGUUGCGUCCGCUGUGAAAUCCCGAGGCUCAACCUCGGGUCUGCAGUCGAUACGGGCGGACUGGAGUACUGCAGGGGAGACUGGAAUUCCUGGUGUAGCGGUGAAAUGCGCAGAUAUCAGGAGGAACACCGGUGGCGAAGGCGGGUCUCUGGGCAGUAACUGACGCUGAGGAGCGAAAGCGUGGGGAGCGAACAGG